rnacentral:rRNA from 1 species
UACGUAGGUGGCAAGCGUUGUCCGGAAUUAUUGGGCGUAAAGCGCGCGUAGGCGGAUGUUUAAGUGUCUUGUGAAAUCCCACGGCUCAACCGUGGAACUGCUGGGCAUACUGGACAUCUCGAGGCACUCAGGGGCGAGCGGAACAAGUGGUGGAGCGGUGAAAUGCGUAGAUAUCACUUGGAACGCCAAUGGUGAAGACAGCUCGCUGGGGGUGUCCUGACGCUGAGGCGGCGAAAGCCAGGGGAGCGAACGGG